rnacentral:rRNA from 1 species
GUGCCAGCAGCCGCGGUAAUACGGAAGGUCCGGGCGUUAUCCGGAUUUAUUGGGUUUAAAGGGAGCGUAGGCCGGAGAUUAAGCGUGUUGUGAAAUGUAGACGCUCAACGUCUGCACUGCAGCGCGAACUGGUUUCCUUGAGUACGCACAAAGUGGGCGGAAUUCGUGGUGUAGCGGUGAAAUGCUUAGAUAUCACGAAGAACUCCGAUUGCGAAGGCAGCUCACUGGAGCGCAACUGACGCUGAAGCUCGAAAGUGCGGGUAUCGAACAGGAUUAGAUACCCUGGUAGUCCGCACGGUAAACGAUGGAUGCCCGCUGUUGGUCUGAAUAGGUCAGCGGCCAAGCGAAAGCAUUAAGCAUCCCACCUGGGGAGUACGCCGGCAACGGU